rnacentral:rRNA from 1 species
AACGAACGCUGGCGGCAGGCUUAACACAUGCAAGUCGAGCGAAGACUUCGGUCUUAGCGGCGGACGGGUGAGUAACGCGUGGGAACAUACCCUUUGCUACGGAACAGUCCCGGGAAACUGGGUUUAAUACCGUAUACGCCCUUCGGGGGAAAGAUUUAUCGGCAAAGGAUUGGCCCGCGUUGGAUUAGGUAGUUGGUGGGGUAAAGGCCUACCAAGCCGACGAUCCAUAGCUGGUUUGAGAGGAUGAUCAGCCACACUGGGACUGAGACACGGCCCAGACUCCUACGGGAGGCAGCAGUGGGGAAUCUUAGACAAUGGGGACAACCCUAAUCUAGCCAUGCCGCGUGAGUGAUGAAGGCCUUAGGGUUGUAAAGCUCUUUCACCUGGGAAGAUAAUGACGGUACCAGCAGAAGAAGCCCCGGCUAACUCCGUGCCAGCCGCCGCAGUAAAAC